rnacentral:lncRNA from 1 species
CUUGAGUCUGUAUGAGAUUCUCAUUCAAACCACCACAAAUAUCUAAAAAUGAUUUUGAAAACAAAACAUAACCUCAGAGAAUUUAUAUAGCUCACAUCACAACUGCCAAACAGUCAACAUCACCGGAUUCCACCAAGCUUGACGAUAGACUAGCACACCGUGCUUGGAUACAAAAGUAUCUAAGUCAUUCAUGGAGACUGGGAGUCUUUGUCACACCUGCUGCUAACACUGGAAAUGUAAUCACCUUACAAUGAAAUACUCUUCUGUACUAAGAGAAAUGAUUUGGGAACCAUCUGACUGAGCAGGCAAACCUCAAAUUCAACGUCUCAAGCUACAGAACGCAAACCCCAAAGCAUUGCAGGCAGUUCAUCCCAUUACAGGAAGGAUAAACAACAACAAAGGAAACACAGGAACCAGAAAGGGCUGAGGAGAGAGGCAGUCGGCUGGAGGGUUUGAGGGAGCUUCCAGUGCCAAGAACUGGAAGAGGAAGUAUGUUGCUGCGCUGCAGAGUUGCCGUGGCAAUGGGUCAGCAGCAGAAAGAAACAGGUUCUGCCCUCAACAGACCAUCUGUUAGGAAGGGACCUUAAAUCUCCAAGAAUGGAAGUCUCUAGAGAUAGGACAUUCCAUUCUGUUGGAGUUUAAAUUUGGUCCCAGAGCAACAAGACCUGCUUUGGAAAGCCUCCAAACCUCAGGACUCCACAGUUCUCAAAAAGACAGCCGAACGGCUUUCUGGAAUCCCGUGUGAGCUGUCAGCUCUGCAGCAGUGUAAAGAUGCUGGAGCAUCCUCCAAACGCAAGCCAAGGAUCACAAAGCCUUGGGUAUCACCUUGGCUCUCUUACAAAAAAGCUUUCUGAUCAAGGUGUGGCUGAGACUGGAGAGCAUGGGAAAUAUCCAGGAUAUGUGACUUCAAAGGUGGCCAACUCUGGGACAAGUUGUUACUCUUGCUAUCCUCCUGCUCCGGAUCAAGGACAGACUGAAGAAAACCUGGGUUUUGAUUCACUAUCUUUCUACACAGGACACCCCUUCUGCCUGCCGGAUCCUUCAGAAGACUCCCGGGAGUCCCCUCUCUAUUCGGCUGCUUGCUGGUGAAAAGGUCAGCUUAGGAACUUUGGGAAGGUCAUGGAACACUUGCCUCUACAGAAGGGAGAGGCCAAUUAACGUUUCUCAGACCACAGGGCGGGAACUGACCUGCGUGUGGGGACACAUUCCUCAGGACGGACUGUUGUCCACCUUCAGACAAGGGAAGUCCUUGUCACCUCAUUCCCUAAAGACCACUCAGUUUAAAGGGUGCACUGUUCCGCCAAUCAUAUUGUGCCUAGUUGCUGAUGCUCUAUUCUGCCCCUGGAAGCCAUAUAAAAACUUGCCAACUGGGUGCUGGGGUUGCCACCUCUUGUUUGGGUCUGGGUUGACCCCAGUGCACUGGAACAAUAAAUUCCUCUUGCUUUUUG